GCCUCUAUAGCUCAGAGGUUAGAGCACUGGUCUUGUAAACCAGGGAUCGGGAGUUCGAUCCUCCCUGGGGGCU